UGCAAUACAUGCCCUCUGUAAUACGCACCAUCAGGUUUACCCAACCACCACCACCCUCCCCUCCAAAACCCUCAGUUGCUGUUUAAAUUCAGAUGGUGCUAUCCACAUGAAAGUAGAUACCUAAGAGAACAUUAGCUUUAUCUUGUAGAAUAUACCUCUUCUUAAAAAAUGCUCUCUAUAGAAUUUCAGUUCACUGGUUGUUAAAAUGAGCAUGAACCAAAGUUGGAUUAAGAAGUGUCUGAGAGAGAUGCCUGGGUGGCUCAGUUGGUUAGGCAUCUGCCUUCGGCUCAGGUCCUGAUGCUGGGUCCUUGGGUCCUGGGGAUUGAGUCUGGCGUCGGGCUCCCUUCUUGGCAGGAGAGUCUGCCUCUCUCUCUCCCUCUGCCCCUCCCCCAUUCUGGUGUACUUGCUCUCUUCCUCUCUCAAAUAAAUAAAACCUUUUUUAAAAAGUGUUCAAAUUAUGCAUUAAAACUUAAAACAUCUUUUUAACAGAGUGUUGCAAAUUUUUCACAUAAAUUGCUCUUAAGUUCAAUUUUUGAUGAUUUUUAUCAUGUAAUUUCUUUAAAACAUUAUAGUCUUAUAAAUUACAAAGCCAUCUUAUGUUGCUUUACUCUUUUAUUGAGUAGUUUACAUGUGAACUGUGUGCCUCCUUCCUGUGUUAUUAAACUUUACCCACAAGUAAAUUACAAAUUGUAAAUAUUUGUGGGGAUAAAAAAUUAUGCCAGAGCUCUACUACAUAGUACAUGAAUUUUUUGUCUGUAACUUCUAGUGUUGUCAUUUCAUCACGUCCUUUCCCAUGCACUUUGACAAGAAAUCCAUGUUUGCAGGUGACAAAAAAGGGCCCAAGUCAUUAAAGGUAAAAAGUUCUUGAUUGGAGGAUGGGGUUGGGGAGGGGAGAGCAGUUGACCGGCUGUGUUUUAAUCCCUUACAUCCAAACACUUCUUGCCCAGCCCUGCACCUCAUUGAAGUUGGUCUGACUGGGUUUUACUAUAAAUGGCACAGAAAGCCCCUUCUCCAGACUUCGCAAUUCCUUUUGCCUUUCUAAGAAAGUUUGGCCACCUCUUAGUGAAGUUUCUGUUGUUAACUGACCAGUGAAUAUGGCAACUUUGUAAAGGUUUUUUUAAAGGGUGUUAUUUU